UGCCCAGCGAUUCCUAUCCCUACCUCCUCGCGGUACUGGCCAGGGUACGAGAAACCUUAGGGAAGA
rnacentral:ribozyme from 1 species